rnacentral:rRNA from 1 species
GGUUUGAUUAUGGCUCAGAUUGAACGCUGGCGGGAUGCUUUACACAUGCAAGUCGAACGGCAGCACGGACUUCGGUCUGGUGGCGAGUGGCGAACGGGUGAGUAAUGUAUCGGAACGUGCCUAGUAGCGGGGAUAACUACGCGAAAGCGUAGCUAAUACCGCAUACGCCCUUCGGGGGAAAGCGGGGGACCUUCGGGCCUCGCACUAUUAGGAGCGGCCGAUAUCGGAUUAGCUAGUUGAGGGUGCAACGGUCACCAAGGCGACGAUCCGUAGCUGGUUUGAGAGGACGACCAGCCACACUGACUGGAGACACGGCCCAGACUCCUACGGGAGGCAGCAGUGGGGAAUUUUGGACAAUGGGGAAACCCUGAUCCAGCCAUCCCGCGUGUGCGAUGAAGGCCUUCGGGUUGUAAAGCACCCUUGGCAGGAAAGAAACGGCACGGGGAUACCCCGUGCAACUGACGGUACCUGCAGAAUAAGCACCGGCUAACUACGCGCCAGCAGCCGCGGUAAUACGUAGGUGCAAGCGUUAAUCGGAAUUACUGGGCGGAAGUGUGCGCAGGCGGUUCGGAAAGAAAGAUGUGAAAUCCCAGAGCUUAACUUUGAACUGCAUUUUUAACUACCGAGCUAGAGUGUGUCAGAGGGAGGUGGAAUUCCGCGUAGCAGUGAAGUGCGUAGAUAUGCGGAAAGAACACCGAUGGCGAAGGCAGCCUCCCGGGAUAAUGACUGACGCUCAUGCACGAAAGCGUGGGGAGCAAACAGGAUUAGAUACCUCUGGUAGUCCACGCCCUAAACGAUGUCAACUAGCUGUUGGGGCCUUCGGCUCUGGUAGCGCAGCUAACGCGUGAAGUUGACCGCCUGGGGAGUACGGUCGCAAGAUUAAAACUCAAAGGAAUUGACGGGGACUCCGCACAAGCGGUGGAUGAUGUGGAUUAAUUCGAUGCAACGUGCGAAAAACCUUACCUACCCUUGACAUGUCUGGAAUCCCGAAGAGAUUUGGGAGUGCUCGCAAGAGAACCGGAACACAGGUGCUGCAUGGCUGUCGUCAGCUCGUGUCGAGAUGUUGGGUUAAGUCCCGCAACGAGCGCAACCCUUGUCAUUAGUUGCUACGAAAGGGCACUCUAUCGAGACUGCCGGUGACAAACCGGAGGAAGGUGGGGAUGACGUCAAGUCCUCAUGGCCUUAUGGGUAGGGCUUCACACGUCAUACAAUGGUCGGGACAGAGGGUCGCCAACCCGCGAGGGGAGCCAAUCCCAGAAACCCAGAUCGUAGUCCGGAUCGCAGUCUGCAACUCGACUGCGUGAAGUCGGAAUCGCUAGUAAUCGCGGAUCAGCAUGUCGCGGUGAAUACGUUCCCGGGUCUUGUACACACUGCCUGUCACACCAUGGGAGUGGGUUUUACCAGAAGUAGUUAGCCUAACCGUAAGGAGGGCGAUUACCACGGUAGGAUUCAUGACUGGGGUGAAGUCAACAAGGUAG